GGAGAGAUGGCAGAGUGGUCUAAUGCGGCGGUCUUGAAAACCGCUGUGCCCGUAAGGGUGCCGGGGGUUCGAAUCCCUCUCUCUCCGCCA
rnacentral:tRNA from 1 species